AGAGUUUGAUCCUGGCUCAGAAUAAACGCUGGCGGCGUGCCUAACACAUGCAAGUCGAGCGAGAAAGUUCCUUCGGGAAUGAGUAAAGCGGCGAACGGGUGAGUAACGCGUGAGAAUCUACCUUUUAGUGGAGAAUAACACCGAGAAAUCGAUGUCAAUACUGCAUAAGUCCCUGCGGGGAGAAAGAUGGCCUCUUGCUAUCGCUAAAAGAUGAGCUUGCGUACUAUUAGCUAGUUGGUGAGGUAAUGGCUCACCAAGGCAAUGAUGGUUAACCGGCCUGAGAGGGUGUACGGUCACACUGGAACUUAGACACGGUCCAGACUCCUACGGGAGGCAGCAGUGAGGAAUAUUGCGCAAUGGGCGAAAGCCUGACGCAGCGACGCCGCGUGGAGGAUGAAGGUCUUCGGAUUGUAAAUUCCUGUUAAGUGGGAAGAAAUACCAACUUUUAAUACGAGUUGGGGAUGACGGUACCACUAGAGAAAGCACCGGCUAACUUCGUGCCAGCAGCCGCGGUAAUACGAGGGGUGCAAGCGUUAUUCGGAAUGAUUGGGCGUAAAGGGUGUGUAGACGGCUUUUUAAGUCACCUGUUAAAUUCUUCGGCCUAACUGAAGGUAUGCAGGUGAAACUGAUUGGCUAGAGGAUGGAAGAGAGAAGUGGAAUUCUCGGAGUAGCGGUAAAAUGCGUAGAUCUCGAGAGGAACACCGAUGGCGAAGGCAGCUUCUUGGUCCAUUCCUGACGUUGAAACACGAAAGCGUGGGGAGCAAACAGGAUUAGAUACCCUAGUAGUCC
rnacentral:rRNA from 1 species